AGUGAACGCUAGUGGCGUGCUUAACACAUGCAAGUCGAACGGACAAUAUUUGUGCUUGCACAAAUAAAGUUAGUGGCAAACGGGUGAGUAAUACAUGGGAAUUUCCUUGUAGUACGGAAUAACUAUUGGAAACAAUAGCUAAUACCGUAUAUUGCCGAGAGGUGAAAGAUUUAUCGCUACAAGAUAAGCCCAUGCAAGAUUAGCUUGUUGGUAAGGUAAUGGCUUACCAAGGCUACGAUCUUUAGCUGGUUUGAGAGGAUGAUCAGCCACACUGGAACUUAGACACGGUCCAGACUCCUACGGGAGGCAGCAGUGGGGAAUAUUGGACAAUGGGCGAAAGCCUGAUCCAGCGACGUCACGUGAAUGAUGAAGGCC
rnacentral:rRNA from 1 species